AUGGCUGAGGGCUCCUCCGCCACGGCCGCGGCGGCCUCGGCUCCGAGCGAGGAGGCGGCCGGCCGUGGGGAAGGAAGGCAGAGGGAGGAAGGCGGCGGGCGGGCGGGGGGAGAGGGGGCGGGCGGCAGGGGGAAGGGGCGGGCGCGGCGGCGGCGGCGGCGGGCUUCCCCGCCUCCUCGCCUCGGUGCGCCCCGCGCUCGCUCGGCCGCUGCUCGCCCCGGCGCCCCGCCUUACCGCGCCUCGGCCUCCUGCUCUGGCCGCGCCUCCUCCCGCCCUCCGGGCCGGCGCUCCGCUUCCCCCUUCCUCCUGCACCUCCGCCUCCUUCCACACAAAUACCAACUCCUCACCCCGAGCCCAGAUCUGGCCGCCGCCGCCGCCGCCGCCACACUGCGCUCGAGCUCGCCUCGCGAGACUUCCGCGCUGGCCCGGCCCACCCCGCCUCGCUCCUACUCGCCAGCUUGCCCUCUCGCUCCUCCUCCUCUGCCAAUCGGUCAGCCGUUCGCCACGGAGGCCCCGCCCACUCUCCCGGGCUCCUCCCGGAUUGGGGCAGGCGGGACGGCCCCCGCGCGCGCUGGCUGGCCCGCGGCGCGUGAUGUCACUGCGCCGUCGCCGCUAGUCGCGCGACUCCCGCCCUCCGCGGUGCAACAGUGGCAAAACCCGUCGCCCCAGGCCCGGGCCGCACUCGGGAUCCGGGCGUCGCCGCGGCAGCCGCUACCUCAGGAGCUGUUUCCUUGUUCUUGCCCCUUGGCUCACACUCCCUUCAUGAAGGAACUGCCUCACAUCCACCAGCCUCCAUGCGCUCAGACCUUCCAGUUGGAAAGAACCCUUCCCUGGGCUCCUGUUCCCCCGCGUGUGGGAGUCCUCACGACUCAGUCAGCUGCACUCGUAGAUGGUUCCUGGGUUGGAAGCUCCUGGAAGAGAAUUAAAGACAAACUUACGGUUGAACUCUGAAGCGAGGAGGAGGCUGGCAGCCCACAUCUGGGUCACUAGGGAGUGGAUUGUUGCCAUCACAACUGGGCGCUGGAGUUGGAGGCGCUCCGGGAGCACGGUGUCUGGUAUUCACAGUGCAGUGCACAGAGCUCUCAGUGAUCUACAGGAAAGCCCCACCACCCUGCAAGUACAGGCGGGAAGGACUCCCAGGGCCUCCGCUGCGUGCGCAGAGCUGCUCCCUGGCCCUGGAAUCAGAAAUCUCAUCCCUUCCUCCCAGAGCCACACCUCACAGCUGGACCACCGGGCACCCUGGCGUCCCUGUGAGGGGCCUCCCCAGCCAGUCCUCCCGAAGCUCCACCUGGCUCCCAGCUCUCUCCUGCCCCAGAGCGUCCGCGGUCCCGCCGCUCCGAGGUCAAAUCCAAAUCCACAGCGAGACCCUCCAGUGAGGCUGGACCACCUGCCCGCCUUCCCUUCUGCUGCGCCCUGCUGAGCUCCUGCCACAGCUGGGCUCCUGCCCAUGAAGAGGGACACAGAAGUCUGUCCCAUGCUGACCUCUCCUGCCACUAAACCCGCCUCGAACAGGAAGCCCCUCCCCGUCAGCUACAGUUGCCUCCCUCCGAUAGCUCUGCAUUUUUGCAUAUUAUCAAAACUGAUUUGGGUAGAAUUCUGCACUCAAGUGAAUGUUCUGAAAGGGCAGGCAUAUAUUUGUGAUCAUUCACUUACUCAGUCAACAAACAUGUCCAGUCCAGUGCACAAGCACUGUGCUGGGUGCUGGGUGCUGGGACGCAUCAGUAACUAAAAUGGGUUCCAACCACUUCAGAACCUUCCAGCCAGUGGGAAAUAAAGCAGCAGAUGAGG